GACGAACGCUGGCGGCGUGCUUAACACAUGCAAGUCGAACGAUGAAGCCGGAGCUUGCUCCGGUGGAUUAGUGGCGAACGGGUGAGUAACACGUGAGCAAUCUGCCCUUGACUCUGGGAUAACUGCGGGAAACUGUAGCUAAUACCGGAUACGACACCUUGGGGCAUCCCAGGGUGUGGAAAGAAUUUCGGUCAAGGAUGAGCUCGCGGCCUAUCAGCUAGUUGGUGAGGUAAUGGCUCACCAAGGCGACGACGGGUAGCCGGCCUGAGAGGGUGACCGGCCACCGUGGAACUGAGACACGGUCCAGACUCCUACGGGAGGCAGCAGUGGGGAAGAUUGCACAAUGGGCGAAAGCCUGAUGCAGCAACGCCGCGUGAGGGAUGAAGGCCUUCGGGUUGUAAACCUCUUUUAGCAGGGAAGAAGCGAAAGUGACGGUACCUGCAGAAAAAGCACCGGCUAACUACGUGCCAGCAGCCGCAGUAA
rnacentral:rRNA from 1 species